rnacentral:rRNA from 1 species
AUACGGAGGGUGCGAGCGUUAAUCGGAAUUACUGGGCGUAAAGCGUACGCAGGCGGUUGAUUAAGCGAGAUGUGAAAUCCCUGGGCUCAACCCAGGAACUGCAUUUCGAACUGGUCAACUAGAGUAUGAGAGAGGGUGGUAGAAUUUCAGGUGUAGCGGUGAAAUGCGUAGAGAUCUGGAGGAACAUCAAUGGCGAAGGCAACUCCCUGGCCAAAGACUGACGCUCAUGUGCGAAAGUGUGGGUAGCGAACAGGAUUAGAUACCCUGGUAGUCCACACCGUAAACGCUGUCUACUAGCUGUUUGUGGAUUUAAUCCGUGAGUAGCGAAGCUAACGCGAUAAGUAGACCGCCUGGGGAGUACGGCCGCAAGGUUAAAACUCAAAUGAAUUGACGGGGGCCCGCACAAGCGGUGGAGCAUGUGGUUUAAUUCGAUGCAACGCGAAGAACCUUACCUACUCUUGACAUACUAGAAACUUUUCAGAGAUGAAUUGGUGCCUUCGGGAAUCUAGA